GGGAAUGUGGCUUAGUGGUAGAGUGCUUGCCUAGCAUGCAUGAAGCCCUAGGUUCAAUUUCUCAAUACUA
rfam:Dipodomys ordii contig_11598, whole genome shotgun sequence.